CUGACCUUAGCUCAGUUGGUAGAGUGGUGGACUGUAGUUAGACUAAUCUAAAUUGGAAAUCCUUAGGUCGCUGGUUGAUUCCGGCAGGUUGGA
rnacentral:tRNA from 1 species